ensembl:lncRNA
GUUUUGUUCACUGCACAGCAUCUCUUUGAAGUCCUCAUUCAAUUUAUGUCUUCAGAGAUGUUCCCUCAUUCAAAGGAAGGGGUAGAGGGGAUUUUUCAGGCCCCUGUGUUGUAAUUGCAUAGCAACCUACUAAACCAUACAGAAUAUACAUAAUGUACAUAUAUAACAAGGCUAGCUAGGCAUCCCUGGUGCUGGAGUUCCAGAAGCAGUGUGUUUUUCCAGCCAUGCAGCACACCUGACUGUACUUAGCAUCUAAAACACUGAGCUAAUUGAUCCAUUUCACUGAUUGAUACAUGCUCCCUCACUGCCACCCACCAGGGUGUCCUACUGAUGAUUUCUUCAAACCUGGUCUUGGGGAACCACGGUGUGUGUGUGCAGGCUUUUGUUCUACCACAGCACUAACACACCUGGUUCAAUUAAUCAAGCUUGAUCUGUUGAAAAUGUGUGUGUUAGAAUGUGAUGAGGCGGUGACUGUGACUCCUCCCAGGUCUCUCCUCUGACUCUCUCUAAGGACAGGUCUGUGUGGAUGAAUAGUACUGGGCUGUGGAGGCUGGCUCUCUCUAAGGACAGGUCUGUGUGGAUGAAUAGUACUGGGCUGUGGAGGCUGACUCUCUCUAAGGAUAGGUCUCUGUGUGGAUGAAUAGUACUGGGCUGUGGAGGCUGAC